AAAGAGAAGGCCAAACGAGGUUAUCGCAAUAGACCACAAUGAAAAAACACAAUCCAGGACGUCUCGCUGCCGUAGUGGUUUCUGUUGUCGGCUAUGCAAUAAGUUUGGUCUUCAACGGGCUUUCUGUGGUCGGAGUCGGUCCUUAUGGUACCACCACGGGAAACGUGUCUGCAGUGUUCGACACCCAGAUCACACCAUCGGGUUGGACCUUUAGCAUCUGGAGCGUCAUCUACGUCUGGCUGACGCUAAUGAUAAUCUACAUCAUCGCUGGACUUUUCAGAAAGAAUGGUUAUGGCUACGUCUACUGCAGCCCUGCAGUGUUGCCUUAUGGAUUCUUCGUCAGCUGGUGCCUGAAUCUGUGCGUCAACAUUGGCUGGCUGCUUGUCUGGGACCGAGGAGAGAUGAUCGUUGCACUGGUUUUUCUCUUCCUGGUCAUCUGCACAAACUACUCCAUGAUAUUCUUCACAUGCCAUAGACUUCAUGUUUAUGGAGCCUGGCUGAAGAAAUACCACAAGAUAGACCUGUGGCUCUUCCGUGUGCUGGUUCAAAACGGAGUGAUGAUAUACACCACAUGGACAACCAUUGCGACACUAAUCAACCUGACCAUCGUACUGACCUACAAUGCAGAGAUGUCCCCAACGGAUGCUGCAACCGUCUCGUACUCGGUUUUGUCCGUCCUGCUGCUUGUGUGGUUUGUUUUGGAAAACUUCGUCCUCGACAGACACGUGCGGUACAUCCUCAUCAUCUACCCGGUCGUGAUCUGGGCGCUGUGUGGAAACCUGGUCAAGAACUAUGAUGCGGAAUCACCCACCCGUAGCGGCAUUUUCAUUGUUGUGCUGCUGGCUGUCGCCUGUGUGCUAUUUGCCAUCCGGAUUGGUCUGGUUGUUUGGAGACACAUCAGACAGCCGCUCUACAAAGACGCCAGUCCCGACACCAUGGAACCAAUGGAGAUUGCUGAGAAGCAGAAGAAGAUAUUUCGCUAAACACAUUCACUUUAUUUGAACAAAUGUUUUAUUUAGAAAAUGUUGAUACAUGUUGUAAGAUUCUGAUUGUAUAAAGUAUGAUAUAAAAUACACUUAAACUUUGGCUGAUGGUCUUUAAACCUUUUAUGUCUGUUCCCUAACAUAUUUAUUGUUAACACGACACAUACGGCUUUGAUGCGUGACUGUUAUAACAUUAAAAU
ensembl:lncRNA